GGUGGCCGACCAAGAGGAGGUGGGGCAUAUGAACUAGGGCAUAUGAACUAGGGUGGAAGCAAGGAGAUGGGGCGGUAGCACUUAGAUGAAAACUAUUUUCAUUAGCUCUGCAUGCCCAACUACUCCUCCCCUUUUAUAAUUGGCAGACAAAGGAUAGGAUAGACUUCAAUUAGUUUUGGACUCUUAUCUGGUAAGAGUUCAAGCUUAGAAUUGAAUCCAUCUUAUCCCAUA
rnacentral:lncRNA from 1 species